rnacentral:rRNA from 1 species
AUUGAACGCUGGCGGCAUGCCUUACACAUGCAAGUCGAACGGUAACGGGCCUUCGGGUGCCGACGAGUGGCGAACGGGUGAGUAAUGUAUCGGAACGUACCUUUCAGUGGGGGAUAACGUAGCGAAAGUUACGCUAAUACCGCAUAUUCUGUGAGCAGGAAAGCAGGGGAACGCAAGACCUUGCGCUGAUUGAGCGGCCGAUAUCAGAUUAGCUAGUUGGUGGGGUAAAGGCUCACCAAGGCGACGAUCUGUAGCGGGCCUGAGAGGAUGAUCCGCCACACUGGAACUGAGACACGGUCCAGACUCCUACGGGAGGCAGCAGUGGGGAAUUUUGGACAAUGGGGGCAACCCUGAUCCAGCCAUGCCGCGUGAGUGAAGAAGGCCUUCGGGUUGUAAAGCUCUUUCGGCCGGGAAGAAAUCGUAUCAGCUAAUACCUGGUGCGGAUGACGGUACCGGCAUAAGAAGCACCGGCUAACUACGUGCCAGCAGCCGCAGUAAUAC